rnacentral:rRNA from 1 species
UCUGAGAGGAUGAUCAGCCACACUGGGACUGAGACACGGCCCAGACUCCUACGGGAGGCAGCAGUGGGGAAUAUUGGACAAUGGGCGAAAGCCUGAUCCAGCCAUGCCGCGUGUGUGAAGAAGGCUUUCGGGUUGUAAAGCACUUUCAGCGAGGAAGAAAGCCUGGUGGUUAAUACCCAUCAGGAAGGACAUCACUCGCAGAAGAAGCACCGGCUAACUCCGUGCCAGCAGCCGCGGUAAUACGGAGGGUGCGAGCGUUAAUCGGAAUUACUGGGCGUAAAGCGCGCGUAGGUGGCUUGGCACGCCGGUUGUGAAAGCCCCGGGCUCAACCUGGGAACGGCAUCCGGAACGGCCAGGCUAGAGUGCAGGAGAGGAAGGUAGAAUUCCCGGUGUAGCGGUGAAAUGCGUAGAGAUCGGGAGGAAUACCAGUGGCGAAGGCGGCCUUCUGGCCUGACACUGACACUGAGGUGCGAAAGCGUGGGUAGCAAACAGGAUUAGAUACCCUGGUAGUCCACGCCGUAAACGAUGUCGACUAGCCGUUGGGACCUUUAAGGACUUAGUGGCGCAGUUAACGCGAUAAGUCGACCGCCUGGGGAGUACGGCCGCAAGGUUAAAACUCAAAUGAAUUGACGGGGGCCCGCACAAGCGGUGGAGCAUGUGGUUUAAUUCGAUGCAACGCGAAGAACCUUACCUACCCUUGACAUCC